rnacentral:rRNA from 1 species
AUUAAACGCUGGCGGCAUGCCUUACACAUGCAAGUCGAACGGCAGCACGGGGGCAACCCUGGUGGCGAGUGGCGAACGGGUGAGUAAAGCAUCGGAACAUGCCCUGGAGUGGGGGAUAACGUAGCGAAAGUUACGCUAAUACCGCAUAUUCUGUGAGCAGGAAAGCAGGGGAUCGCAAGACCUUGCGCUCUGGGAGCGGCCGAUGUCGGAUUAGCUAGUUGGUGGGGUAAAGGCCUACCAAGGCGACGAUCCGUAGCGGGUCUGAGAGGAUGAUCCGCCACACUGGGACUGAGACACGGCCCAGACUCCUACGGGAGGCAGCAGUGGGGAAUUUUGGACAAUGGGCGAAAGCCUGAUCCAGCCAUGCCGCGUGAGUGAAGAAGGCCUGGUGUAAGCUCUUCGGUGGGAGAAUUGCAUAGGCUAAUACCCUAGUG